rnacentral:rRNA from 1 species
AGAAUCAACGCUGGCGGCGUGCCUAAUACAUGCAAGUCGAACGCGAAAGUCCCGCAAGGGAUGAGUAGAGUGGCAAACGGGUGAGUAACGCGUGGGUGACCUGCCUUCGAGUGGGGGAUAACGUUUCGAAAGGAACGCUAAUACCGCAUGAUAUCCCGCCUUUUAACAGGUGGAGAUCAAAGCCGGGGAUCGCAAGACCUGGCGCUUGAAGAGGGGCCCGCGUCCGAUUAGCUAGUUGGUGGGGUAACGGCUCACCAAGGCAACGAUCGGUA